UUUCAGUCAAAAAGGGUUCUCUGGAUGCAAUGCCUUUUCCUCCUGGCGUUGGUGGAGGACGUGUAAGUGGGGAUGCAAAUCUCAACACUUUCGAAGUGAUCACAGCGGAUAAAGCAAUUGAUGAGAAUAAUGUGGGCAACAGGAUGCUCCGUAACAUGGGCUGGCAUGAAGGCUCGGGUCUAGGUAAGGAUGGAAGUGGAAUGACGGAGCCAGUCCAGGCACAAGCCAUGGAUAGCAGGGCGGGACUUGGGAG
rnacentral:misc_RNA from 1 species